CCUACGGGUGGCAGCAGUCGAGAAUCAUUCACAAUGGGGGAAACUCUGAUGGUGCGACGCCGCGUGGGUGAAUGAAGGUCUUCGGUUUGUAAACCCCUGUCAUGUGGGAGCAUAUUAAAACGAUAGUACCACAAGAGGAAGAGACGGCUAACUCUGUGCCAGCAGCCGCGGUAAUACAGAGGUCUCAAGCGUUGUUCGGAAUCACUGGGGGUAAGGCGUGCGUAGGCUGUUUCGUAAGUCGUGUGUGAAAGGCGAGGGCACAACCCGCGGACGGCACAUGAGACUGCGAGACUAGAGUAAAGGAGGGGGUACCGGAAUUCUCGGUGUAGCAGUGAAAUGCGUAGAUA
rnacentral:rRNA from 1 species